UCCCUGGCAGUCCAGUGGUUAGGACACCGUGCUUCCACUGCAGGGGCCACGGGUUCGAUCCCUGGUCGGGGAA
rnacentral:tRNA from 1 species